rnacentral:rRNA from 1 species
GAACAUAUCUGAGAGUAACUGUUCAGGUAUUGACGGUAUUUAACCAGAAAGCCACGGCUAACUACGUGCCAGCAGCCGCGGUAAUACGUAGGUGGCAAGCGUUGUCCGGAUUUAUUGGGCGUAAAGCGAGCGCAGGCGGUUUUUUUAAGUCUGAUGUGAAAGCCUUCGGCUCAACCGAAGAAGUGCAUCGGAAACUGGGAAACUUGAGUGCAGAAGAGGACAGUGGAACUCCAUGUGUAGCGGUGAAAUGCGUAGAUAUAUGGAAGAACACCAGUGGCGAAGGCGGCUGUCUGGUCUGUAACUGACGCUGAGGCUCGAAAGUAUGGGUAGCAAACAGGAUUAGAUACCCUGGUAGUCCAUACCGUAAACGAUGAAUGCUAAGUGUUGGAGGGUUUCCGCCCUUCAGUGCUGCAGCUAACGCAUUAAGCAUUCCGCCUGGGGAGUACGGCCGCAAGGCUGAAACUCAAAGGAAUUGACGGGGGCCCGCACAAGCGGUGGAGCAUGUGGUUUAAUUCGAAGCUACGCGAAGAACCUUACCAGGUCUUGACAUACUAUGCAAAUCUAAGAGAUUAGACGUUCCCUUCGGGGACAUGGAUACAGGUGGUGCAUGGUUGUCGUCAGCUCGUGUCGUGAGAUGUUGGGUUAAGUCCCGCAACGAGCGCAACCCUUAUUAUCAGUUGCCAGCAUUAAGUUGGGCACUCUGGUGAGACUGCCGGUGACAAACCGGAGGAAGGUGGGGAUGACGUCAAAUCAUCAUGCCCCUUAUGACCUGGGCUACACACGUGCUACAAUGGAUGGUACAACGAGUUGCGAACUCGCGAGAGUAAGCUAAUCUCUUAAAGCCAUUCU